ensembl:lncRNA
CUAAAUCUUGGGUAUUAGCUGAUAAGAAGAGGUGUCAGAGGUGUUAUGAAACAAAUCAGAUGAAUAAUGGGCGAACUGUUAUCGCUUUCACAGACCGAAGGCGCGGCGGGCAGAGCGGCCUUCUCACCCCCUUCCCUUCACUUGUCGGGAAUUGGGGCAUUUUUCAGUCGCAUCUUCGCCCUUCUUGGGGGCGGCCUUAGAUUGUCGGCAGCUGUCUUAGAUCAGAGCUGUUUAUUCCACAGCGAAACCACUUUGGAUCGAGACGAGGGAGAGAGCGCAGAGCGGGGGCACCCUCCCGAGCCUUUGAAGCGCCUCUGGUCGUUCGUUCUCUUCUGCUCGGCAAAAUCCAAGCCCUCCACUCUCGUCACAACGCAGAGCCCCGAGAUAAGAGAAGCGUCCUGCACACGAGCACGGUCACACGUCCGAAGUAACAGCGGACCUCCUCUCGCGUUUCCGAAGCUCGGGUGCUCGACGCCGCUAUCCGCCCCAUCCAAAGCGGUUUCUUUCCCCCUUCCCCGCUCCGCUUUUAGAAGAUAUUUCUUUAUUUGGUCAAGGAAUCCUAUCAGCGUCAGGAGAAAAGUUGUGGUUCUAAUUCUCUUAACGUAAGGAGGGGAGAGGGGAAAGAAGCUUAUCUCCCCGCUUUUUAUUUUAUUACUACUAUUGUUAUUGUUUUCAUUGGACACCGACUCGAGCACAUCGUAGCGAAUUUAGAUGCACUUGCAGGACGGGUUGUAGAGUCCACCUUCGGCAUAGGAAGGCCCUUGCGAAGCGCAGGGUGCCGAGAUGAUACAUGCAGCUCCGGAGGCUGUGGGAACCCGAAUCGGAAGCCAGCUUGCUUUUGCUUCGCUUCCCACCGCCAUCCGCUUUCCAAUCCGCGUAAAAGGCUUUUGGUUUUGUCUUAAAAGGCAUCUGAGAACCAACCGUUCGGAAUAAGCAAGGAGUGUGUGAAGGGGGAAUCACCCAAACCUGUAGGAAGCUGGAAUUGGCCCUCUGCGCUUCGACAGCGAAUAGCAGCCACCAAUCACAGAACUGCAGGGGCUGGAACGGACUUCUGGAGAUCAUUGAGACCAACACCCUGCUAAAAGUAUCCGGGAUGAUUCUGGAUUUCGAAUAACUCCAGAGAAAGACAGCCCACAAGUGUUCCAUCCCUUGGAUCAUUUUUCUGGCUCUUCUUUGGGCAUGCUCCAACAGGUGAAAGCAUUUGAAGAAAGAGUGUAAGAAGGGAGGAAAAAAAGAAGUCUUAAA